CUUCUCUGGAGGAAGCAACCCUGCACAGAGGGAAAGAAGAAUCUCAACAUACAGUCCUCAGCAGCUUUAGCAUGGGCAACAAAUUAAGUCUCUGUAAAAGGCCCAAAGGACAGGGUUUGGUGAGAUUCUGGAGAGCUGGAAACAUGGAGGUUGACAGGAAUGUAAAGAAGAACUCAUUUACAUGCCAGGAGGGUGGAACACCCCAAUUCCAUGAGGAUAACUGCUCCUGUACUCCAGACCUCACCCCAUGUGUCUCUUCAUCUGGCUGGUUAUUUGUCCUUUAAGAUCUCCUUACUCAACCAGUAAAUGUGUCUUUACAUUGUUUUAGUCUUGAACUAGAAGAUGAAAGCAUCAAAUAAAGAAAUAUACUGUGGGUAUAUGGAUUACAAAAAAAGAUCUGUGGAAGUUUGAAGUUGAGAAUGAUGACCUAGAGUAUCUGGUGGAAGAAAUUUCUAAGCAGCAAAGUGUUCAAGAUGUGGCCUGGAUGCUUCUAACAACCUAUGCUCAGAUGUAGGCACAAAGGAAUGACUUACAUUUGGAACUUACAUUUAAACAGGAAGCAGAGCCUAAAAGUUCAGAAAAUUUGCAGGCUGAUCAUGUGGCAAAUAAAUAAAAACCUUUUACAAGAGAGAAACUCAAGCAGGCUGUUGAGCAACCAUUUGCUAGAGAUAUCUGCAUAACUGAAAAGGAGCCAAAUGCUAAUAGCCAAGACAAUGGGAAAAAGGUUUCAGUGACAUUUCAGAGAACUUCCUGGCAGCCCUUCUUACCACAGGCCCUGAAGCCUAGGAGGACUGAAUGGUUUUGUAGGCCAGGCCCAGUACCUUGCUAGCCUGCACAGCCUUGAGACACGGCUCCCCAAAUUCUGGUCACUCUGGCCCCAGCCUCAGCUCAAAGGGGCACUGGUAAAACUUGGGCCAUCACUUCAGAGGACACGAGCUAUAAUCAUUGGCAGAUUCCACAUGGUGUUAAGCAUGUGGGUGCACAGAGUGCAAGAGUUAAGAAGGCUUGGUAGCCUCUGCCUAGACUUCAGAGGAUGUAUAGAAAAGGCUGGUGUUCAGGCAGAAGGCUGCUGCAGGAGUGGAGCCCUCACAGAGAACUUCUAGUAGAGCAGUGGGGAGGGGAAAUGUGGGUUUGGAAGCCCACAGAGUCCCCAGUGGGGUAUUGCCUAAUGAAGCUGUGAGAAGGGGGCCACCAUCAUCCAGAACCAAGAAUGGUAGAUCCAUUGGCAGCUUGCACUCUAUGCCUGGAAAAGCUGCAGGCACUCAGCUGUAGCACUUGAGAGGAGCCAUGGGGCUACAUCCUGCAAAUUCACAGGGGAAGAGCUGCCCAAAGCCUUGGGAGCCCACCCCUUGCAUUAACGUGCCAUGGAUGUGAGGCAUGGAGUCAAAAGAGAUUAUUUCAGAGCUUUAAGAUUUAAUGACUGUCCUGCUAGUUUUCGGACCUGUGUGAGCUCUAGUCCCUUUCUUUGCCUGACUUCUUUCUCUUGUAAUGGGAAUGUUUACCCAAUGCUGGCACCCUCAUUGUAUCUUGGAAGUAAAUGACUUGUUUUGAUUUUACAGGCUCACAGGUGGAAGGAACUCAUUUUCAGAUGGGACUUUGGACUUGGGACUUUUGAUUGAGUUGUUGCAGAAAUGAGUUAAGAUUUUGGGGAAUUGCUGAGAAGGCAUGAUUGUAUUUUGCCAUGUGAAAAGAAUAGGUAAUUUGGGGGAAGACAAGGGUAGAAUGAUAUAGUUUAGGUAUUUGUCCACACUGAAAUUUCAUGUUGAAUUGUAAUCCCCAAUGUUGGAAGUGUGGCCUGGUGGGAGGUGUUUAGGUCAUGGGGGUUGAUCCCUCAUGUCUUGGUGCUGUCCUCUCAAUAAUGAAUGAGUUCUCUCAAGAUUUGGUUGUUGUAAAGUGUGGUACCUCCACCCCCAACUCUUUCUCUUGCUCCUACAUUCACCAUGUCAAGUACCUGUUCCCACUUUGCCUUCCACCAUGAUUGUGAAGUUCCUGAGGCCUCUCGGAAAGCAGAUGCCAGCACUAUGCUUCCUGUACAGCCUGCAAAACUGUGAGCCAAUUAAACCUCUUUUCUUAUAAAGUACCCAGUCUCAGGUAUUUCUUUAUAGCAAUGCAAGAACAGCCUAAUACAAUCAGUAAAUAUGUCAGAUUCUACAAUGAGGCUACUAUAAUGUGAAGAUAUUUUUCUUAAUCAUUUACAUUUACAAAUAGACUAAAAUUCUUGUUUUAUGUUAUUGUCUUAGUUCAUUUUGUGCUGCUAUAACGGAAUACUACAGACUGGUAAUUAAUAAACAACAGAAGUUUAUUUGGCUCAUGUCUCUGGAGAUUGGGAAGUCUAAGACUGAGGGGCCUCAUCUAGUGAAGGUCUUGCUAUGUCAUAACAUAACAUGGUGGAAGUCAUCACAUGGUGAAAGCAUGUGUAAAAGAGGAAGACAGGAGAACUCAUACUCUUAUCAGGAUCCCACUCCCACAAUAUCUAGCCCUCUCCCAGGAUAACAGCACUGAUUAUCUUAGAAGGGUCUCAACUCUCAGGACUGUUGCAUUGGGGAUUACAUUUCAAACACGUGGAUCUUGGGAGACACAUUUAAACCACAACAGUGAUGUUUUGAAUAAUAAAUAUACAUCUACAAAUGUGUUUCUUCCACCUGGCAAUGCCUUCUUCUGAUAGUUUUAUUCUGCAAAUUUCAAUUAUUCAAAUAAAAUUUCCUCAUUGGCCCUCUUUAACACUUUUUCCUCUGAAAUCUUAUAUUACUUGUUGCUUUACAAAUACUCUUUAAAAAUUAUUCCACACUGGUAUCUAAAUUCUUCCUUUUUUCCCAGUCUUAUCUUCCCAAUUGGCUUUUAAUUUCCAUCAGGAAAGGAUCCAUGUGUUUUGACUUCUUGGUACUGCUCACAGUAAUACGUAAAUAAUUAAGAUUUAAUAUAAUUGGGUUUAAUUUAAUUUCAUGUAGAUUCCAAUUGAUUUUUCCAAUUAGAUGUGUGAGAUUUUUAUUCAUUAAAAUACGCAAUUAUACUAGCAUCCAUUUUUACUUGUCCAAAGAAUGAGCUAAGAUUUAAGUUAUAUUUUGCGAUCUUGAGAUACAUUUCAUAUGCUCUUCGUUGAAUCACUUUUCUAUUCAUCUUCAAAUUCCAGCUAUAAAAUAUGAUAUGCAAUUGUCUUAGCUCAGAUUGAUCACAAAUCCUUGUUCUACAAGAUACCAUGUAUUCAUAUAUUCAUAAAAAUAUCAACAGAAAUAAUAUAUUAAUAAAUAUUUAAGUAUGUAAUUUCAGAAAGAGAUGGUAAUGUAUCAGGACAGAUUUUAGUUAGGAGACACAAUAUGCUUAUCCGAGCACAAAGUUGGUUUUUAUCAAUUGAUGUUAGUUUUUGAUUAUAUACUAUAUGUAAGUUCUCUAUUUAUAAUUAUAAUUUUCUCA
rnacentral:lncRNA from 1 species